rnacentral:rRNA from 1 species
UACGUAGGGGGCAAGCGUUGUCCGGAUUUAUUGGGCGUAAAGAGCGUGUAGGCGGCCAGACAGGUCCGUUGUGAAAACUCGAGGCUCAACCUCGAGACGCCGAUGGAAACCGUCUGGCUAGAGUCCGGAAGAGGAGAGUGGAAUUCCUGGUGUAGCGGUGAAAUGCGCAGAUAUCAGGAAGAACACCGAUGGCGAAGGCAGUUCUCUGGGCCGUAACUGACGCUGAGGAGCGAAAGCGUGGGGAGCGAACAGG